rnacentral:rRNA from 1 species
GAUGAACGCUGGCGGCGUGCCUAAUACAUGCAAGUCGAGCGAACGGACGCGAAGCUUGCUUUUCUGAUGUUAGCGGCGGACGGGUGAGUAACACGUGGAUCACCUACCUAUAUGACUGGGAUAACCUCGGGACACCGGAGCUAAUACCGGAUAAUAUUUUGCACCGCAUGGUUCAAAAGUGAAAGACGGUCUUGCUUUCACUUAUAGCUGGAUCCGCGCUGCAUUAGCUAGUUGGUAAGGUCACGGCUUACCAAGGCAACGAUGCAUAGCCGACCUGAGAGGGUGAUAGCCGACCUGGGAGCGGGGACACGGUCCAGACGCCUGCGGGAGGCAGCAGUAGGGAAUGGGACGCAAUGGGGGAGAGUAUGACAGAGCAGCGCGGCGUGAGAGGUGAAGGUGUUGGGAGCGGAAAACUGUGUUAUGAGGGAUGAACAGAUGUGUAAUGUACUGUGCACAGCUUGACGGUACCUGGUCAGAAAGCCACGGCUAACUACGUG